rnacentral:rRNA from 1 species
AACGCGAAGAACCUUACCUGGGUUAAAUCCGCCCGAAUCCUGCAGAGAUGUGGGAGUGCCCUUCGGGGAGCGGGCGAGAAGGUAGCUGCAUGGCUGUCGUCAGCUCGUGUCGUGAGAUGUUGGGUUAAGUCCCGCAACGAGCGCAACCCUUGUCGUUAGUUGCUAACGGUUCGGCCGAGCACUCUAACGAGACUGCCGACGUUAAGUCGGAGGAAGGUGGGGAUGACGUCAAGUCCUCAUGGCCCUUAUGUCCAGGGCUACACACGUGCUACAAUGGCCGGUACAAACCGCUGCAAACCCGCGAGGGGGAGCUAAUCGGAAAAAGCCGGCCUCAGUUCGGAUUGGAGUCUGCAACUCGACUCCAUGAAGCUGGAAUCGCUAGUAAUCGUGGAUCAGCAUGCCACGGUGAAUACGUUCCCGGGCCUUGUACACACCGAGUAUA